rnacentral:rRNA from 1 species
AUACGGAGGAUGCGAGCGUUAUCCGGAUUUAUUGGGUUUAAAGGGAGCGUAGGUGGGAUAUUAAGUCAGCUGUGAAAGUUUGGGGCUCAACCUUAAAAUUGCAGUUGAUACUGGUUUCCUUGAGUACGGUACAGGUGGGCGGAAUUCGUGGUGUAGCGGUGAAAUGCUUAGAUAUCACGAAGAACUCCGAUCGCGGAGGCAGCUCACCGGGCCGGAACUGACACUGAUGCUCGAAAGUGCGGGUAUCAAACAGGAUUAGAUACCCUGGUAGUCCGCACAGUAAACGAUGAAUACUCGCUGUUUGCGAUACACUGUAAGCGGCCAAGCGAAAGCGUUAAGUAUUCCACCUGGGGAGUACGCCGGCAACGGUGAAACUCAAAGGAAUUGACGGGG